ACUGGUAAACUGAACGUUGAAUCACAAACUGAUCACACUACUGAAGUCAACAGGUCACUCAUUCUCAAGACACAAUGAUCUACAAAGCCGUUUUCGUGUGUUUGGUGCUUGUUCUCUUAGGCGAUGUCUUUUGUUCUCCACGAAACUCUGGUGGCGGGACCCUCAAUGACAAUCCGUUCGAGAAGAGAACGGAUUGCCGCUUUGUGGGUGCCAAAUGUACUAAAGCUAACAAUCCGUGUGUUGGCAAAGUGUGUAAUGGUUAUCAACUUUACUGCCCUGUAGACGACGAUCACUGUAUUAUGAAACUCACUUUUAUCCCAGGUUAGACAAGGCGUUCAACCAAACCCCAAAAAUAACCGGGAAUUAAACUCCAUUACAUAGCUCUGUAUAAUUAAUUCAGUGAUGAACGAAAAGUUUUAAUGUAACUGGUAGAGAUUAAUUUGGAAGGUAUUAAAACAUUAGAGAAACA